rnacentral:rRNA from 1 species
AUUGAACGCUGGCGGCAUGCUUUACACAUGCAAGUCGAACGGUAACAGGCCUUCGGCUGCUGACGAGUGGCGAACGGGUGAGUAAUGCAUCGGAACGUACCCAGAGGUGGGGGAUAACGCAGCGAAAGCUGUGCUAAUACCGCAUGUGAUCUGAGGAUGAAAGCGGGGGACCGAGCAGCAAUGUUUGGCCUCGCGCCUUUGGAGCGGCCGAUGUCGGAUUAGCUAGUUGGUGGGGUAAAGGCCUACCAAGGCGACGAUCCUUAGCUGGUCUGAGAGGACGACCAGCCACACUGGGACUGAGACACGGCCCAGACUCCUACGGGAGGCAGCAGUGGGGAAUUUUGGACAAUGGGCGCAAGCCUGAUCCAGCAAUGCCGCGUGCGGGAAGAAGGCCUUCGGGUUGUAAACCGCUUUUGGCAGGAACGAAACGGUGUCCGCUAAUACCGGGCGCUAAUGACGGUACCUGCAGAAUAAGCACCGGCUAACUACGUG